AAUGAACGUUGGCGGCGUGGAUUAGGCAUGCAAGUCGUGCGAUAACCCCGCAAGGGGGGAAAGCGGCGAAAGGGAGAGUAAAGCGUGGGUACCUGCCCCUUGGUCCGGAAUAGCGGCGGGAAACUGCAGGUAAUGCCGGAUAAUAUCCUCGGACCAAAGGUGUGAUUCCGCCGAGGGAGGGGCCCGCGUUCUAUUAGCUAGUUGGUAGGGUAAUGGCCUACCAAGGCGACGAUGGGUACCGGGUGUGAGAGCAUGACCCGGCUCACUGGGACUGAGACACUGCCCAGACACCUACGGGUGGCUGCAGUCGAGAAUCUUCGGCAAUGGGCGCAAGCCUGACCGAGCGACGCCGCGUGCGGGAUGAAGGCCUUCGGGUUGUAAACCGCUGUCGUAGAGGAGGAAAUGCCAUGGGGUUCUCUCCAUGGUUUGACCUAUUCUAGGAGGAAGGACGGGCUAAGUUCGUGCCAGCCGCCGCCGUAA
rnacentral:rRNA from 1 species